AGCACCCAGGGGAAGCCAAGUCUGGGCCACUGAUGGGGUCUGGACUCGCCGGGGGUGUGCACGUCUUGCAGCCUGGUGUUGCUUGUGAUGCCGCUGACGAGAAUGGCUUCGGGCGAGGUUCCAGCCAGGGAGGCUUUCGAGGGACUAUAACCCCCGCCUUGGGAGGAUGCAAAGGCCUUGGCGGUGCUUUCAAAGCAUCCAAAUGCUCCGUAAUUAAGUCACGGGGCCCAAUUAUCGGCUCACGAGCACCUUCCUCUCGGGCUUAUCCCUGGGGGAGCUCGUGCGGGUGCAGCAGGCUGAGUGGGGGGCGCCGAGCAGCCCUCAGCGCGGACUGGCUGGACCCCGGGCGCCCCUGUUGCUGGCUGACCUCAGGGUCCAUCUCGCCUCGCUCUGGCCCCUCUGGCCCGUGGGGUGGCGUUUCUUCCCUGCCGUCGGUGAAUCCGUUUUCCUGCUGACCGUGUGUGGCCGGUUUCCAGUUGUUGCUGGUGACUCAUCUGCUUGGUGGUGCAAGAAGCUGCCGGCCUUGCCCCCGAAUUAGGGGCACGAUUCGACACCCCCCUUGCUCCGUGUCUCUGCCUGCCCUGGAGAGCGUCGGGAUUUGGGGCUUUAGACCUCGUCGUGGGGCUGAGGGCCUCGUCCGUUGCACAGAGCAGAGGUGGAAUAAAUGCACGUCGUUGGGAAGAUGAGGGUCCUCCUGGUGCCGCCGCUGCUGCUGCUCCUCCUGUGUGGGGCCCGCAGCCAGGCCGCCUCCAGGCCCAACUUCGUGCUGCUGAUGGCGGACGACUUCGGCAUCGGAGACCCCGGCUGCUACGGAAACAAGACUCUGAGAACCCCCAACAUUGACCGGCUGGCGGAAGGGGGGGUGAAGCUGACACAGCACCUGGCAGCUGCGCCCCUGUGCACGCCGAGCCGGGCGGCCUUCAUGACCGGCCGCUACCCCAUCCGAUCAGGAAUGGCUUCUCGUUCCCGAGUGGGGGUCUUCAUCUUCUCGGCCUCUUCCGGGGGACUGCCCGCCAGUGAGAUUACAUUCGCCAAGCUGCUGAAGAACCAGGGCUACUCAACAGCCCUCAUAGGGAAGUGGCACCUGGGCACCAAUUGCCACAACAAAACCGACUUCUGCCACCACCCUUUGAGCCACGGCUUCGAUUACUUCUACGGGCUGACGGUGACCAACCUGAGGGACUGCAAGCCUGGCGAGGGCAGCGUGUUCGCCACCGGCAUCCAGGUGCUGGUCUUCAUCCCGCUGCAGGUCCUGGCCAUCACCGUGCUCACGCUGGGCAUGCUCAACUGCCUGGGGCUGCUGCACGUGCCCCGCCUGGUCUUCCUGUGCCUGCUCUUCCUCGCCGCCCUCAUCCUCUGCCUGCUGCUGUGCUUCCUGCACUACUUCCGGCCCCUCAACUGCUUCCUCAUGAGGAACCGCGACAUCACCCAGCAGCCCAUCUCGUACGAGAACCUCACACAGAGGCUGACGGUGGACGCCGUCCAGUUCAUCCAGCGGAGCACCGAGAGGCCGUUCCUGCUGGUGCUGUCCUACCUGCACGUGCACACGGCCCUCUUCGCCUCCCGGGACUUCGCUGGCCGGAGCCAGCACGGGGCCUAUGGGGACGCGGCCGAAGAGAUGGACUGGAGUGUGGGCCAGGUCCUGGAUGUCCUGGAGGAGCUGGGACUGAGCAACAACACCCUCGUGUACUUCUCCUCCGACCAGGGGGCGCACGUGGAGGAGGUCACGGCCAAGGGCGAGGUCCAUGGCGGCAGCAACGGCAUCUACAAAGGGGGCAAAGCCAAUAACUGGGAAGGAGGCAUCCGGGUGCCGGGCCUCCUGCGCUGGCCGGGCGUGAUCCCCGCGGGGCUGGAGAGCGACCAGCCCACCAGCAACAUGGACGUGUUCCCCACGGUGGUCAAGCUGGCCGGGGCCCAGCUCCCUGCAGACAGAAUCAUCGAUGGGCGGGACCUGAUGCCUCUGCUUCGGGGGCAGACCCAGCAGUCGGACCACGAGUUCCUCUUCCACUACUGCAACUUCUACCUGAACGCCGUGCGCUGGCACCCCAGGAACACAUGCUUCGCUGCGGAGGACCGAGCUGCUGGCUUGUGAGCCAGGCGUCUCUAAGAGGAAGGGGUUACUUUUCCCUCUCCAUCUGCUGCAAAGACCAUCCGAAGAGGAACAUUCCAGGUUGUUGAAGAAGUCUCGGUCCUGAAGCUGGUGUGCAUUUCCCCGGCCAGUCUUCAUGGGGAGAUAUCGGCUUCAUCUGCCCGAAAUCAUCUCGUCCUUGGCCUGCGGUUCCCUGCAAGCGCGGAACGACAUAUAUUUGUUCUGUGACUGAAGAUAACGAGAAAGGACUUGGGGAUGCCUGAACCCUGGAAAUCAACAGUAUCUUCAUUGUCGUCGUAGAAGAUGGAGCCCCGCAGGCAGACCCAGGGAGCAGCGAAGAGGCGAGGGGCAGCGGGAGGAGCUCCCCCAGGACCCAUCGCUGGCUCAGAGGAAAGACAGUGGCUCCCGUGACUGCCACGCCUGCCGGGACCCUUUCACGCUGGCACGUGUGCGCGGCAGCCCCUCCACGGGAUACACUCACAAGGAUCCGGAGCAAGGGUCUAAGCUGACUGCGAGUCUCUGCCCAAGGCAGUGCCCGCAGGACAGAUGUCCUCGGCCUCAUCUGACGGUUUUCAAUACAACAUGGGAACAAAAGUUUUCAUGCAAACCCAGGAGUGUCCCAGGGCCAGCUGGCCUUUGGUGUCCACUUGCUGACCACCAAGCCCCUGCUGGCAAACUGCUCUCGGCGCCUACAGCACGUCGCUGGUGAAAGCUGAGGAUACUGGUCACUCUCGGGGAGUCCUGCCGCUGGCUCCCCGUAGGGAACACACAGAGUCACUUAAUUAAGGCAGACAAGUAAGAAGAAGCAGAGGAGAGGCGGCUCCUUGGGGCUUGAUCCCAGAACGUGAGCCCAGCACUUGAGAGUCGCCUUCCUGGGAACCUCAGCCUGCAUCCAGCCACACCCAGCGGGACAGCCCUGCACAAGGCCUGAAGGGAAGACGACGCAGAUUCGGUUUCUGUCCGCCUGACUUUCAUUUCCGCGGUGCUUGGAGAAGAUCAUCUACUGCCCUGGGCUUUUCCAAAAGUGAGAGCGUGCAAAAUUAACGUGUGACUCACUGGAGGGCGCCGGGGGUUAUGGAAUAUGCACGCUUAAAAUAUGCAGGACUGCGCCCCUGAACUCGGCCCCUGCAUCAGCCUUUUCCCAAAAAGACAGAGUUAAGGAAAUCAGGGCCCGACAGCAUCUCCAUCACCAGGCGCGUGAGAGGCCGGGGUCAGCAGAGACGGCUCACGGCCUCGCUGGACCGAGAAGGACCCGGUGCCCAGUGCAGCCAGAGGCCCAGAGCAGGGGUGCAGGGAGCCCUGGCCGGCCUUUCUCUGUGCCCCCUUGGCCUCAGAAGUGCUGGUUUCCCUUUGCUUCCGUGCACUCUGCCACCUUUGCCCUGGGCUCCAGCAGCCUGCACACCCCAUGCCGUUUAUUUUUUUGCACAGCCAGACUUUGCCCAACCGCCUCAGGCAAGUUGUGGUCACGCAGCCAAACUCUGCUUCCAUCAUCGGUUGUGGAGAGAUGGCUACGAUAAUGCUGAGCAAAUAAAGAAAAUGAUGUCACCCCCAGAUCAGUCAUCGGCAGCAGCAAACAAGAUCUGUAGGGAAUCCAUGAGCGACUGUGUCGAGUGCACGUUUUGACACCGAGGUGAGCCUGUCGACAAAAGCACUGUGGGUGAAGAAUCUCGGAAGCCUCAUCGUCACCCCGAGCAGAUACCCUGAGAGGCGUGCGUGGUUAAGUGGAGAGGCCCUCCACCCUCCCGAGUGCUUGAGAAAGACCAGAUGGAAUGCAGCGUUGACAAUGCGUGCUGAGGCUCUGCACACGGAAGACGAGGCAGGCGGUCUUUGUUUGAUUAAUGAUGGCCUGAGGUUGGAUCUGGAUGGAAGCCAUACGGCCUUGCGACAGACGUGCUCUUAGAGUCUGAGGCUGCCUCCCAUGCCCAGCCAGUGUGGCUGACCCCCAAGGCACCGUUCCUGCUUGCUCACUGCCAUCAGGUAGCUGCCGGAGGCUGCGUUGCCUCAGAACUGAGGUGCAUUCAUGUGUCUUAUGAAAUGGAGAAACAAGUCUGUUCACAGACACUGCAGCCCUAAGCACAGCUCCUACCGAAAACCGGGCCUUGGAGGACCCAGGGGGCACACCUUCCUCCUGCCAGAACCUGUCCCGAGUUUGCUUUGACCACAAGUUUCACUGAGAUGAUGCAGAGACGUAGGGUAGGUGACCAAGGAGGUCGAGGCAAGAUGAAGUCUACUGACAAGUCAUCCCAGGCAAGUCCUCGGCUCCAAGGGGCCUCCACCUGCAGCAGUAGCUGAAGCCCAGGGCUGUUAGAGGUGGCGCCCCCUGGAGGGCGGUGCUGGUGAGGCUGGAGAGCCCCAGGAGGAAUGCGGACAGGGUGCAGGUGGGGAGGAGAGUGAUGAGAAACAUACAGGACUGCAGAGGCAGCGUCUGGGGUCAGCCCUUCCGGCGUCCACCACGCAGACCUUACGAAAGGCUGUUGCGGCCUCUGAAGGACGGGGCGAGGCCUCCGGCCGCCAACCUCAGAGAGGAGCAGUUUGGAGGCUUUGCAUGGAGCUGAGCAACUAAAAUUGUUGCCGUUUUGCUGAUGUUACAGCUGGAGGGAAGGCAGAGACCCGGGACCGGAGCCGGCACUUCACUGGGCUGCACUUGCUGGGGAAGAGCGAACUAGGAUUGAUUUCUACUGGAGACAUGGCUGUGCAAAUACGGAGAUAAACCCCCCUUGGAUUGAUGCUGAUGAGUGACAAAGGUCACAUCCUUCCCUCACACAGUAUCAGAAUUUCCAGGACCAUGAAGGUGGGGGAAAGAGAAGCCACUCAGAUAUUCUUCUCGAAUGCCGUCUGUUGUCAAGAAAAACCUGCAAGACCAUGCGUUUCGAGGCGUGUUAAAGGGAGUGCAUCACGGUGCCGGGAACGCUGAAAGCAGCCACCGACAGGCACAGACGGACUUUCUCCCAGGCUGGGGAAUGAUCGCUGGAGGCAGCUCCCAGCUCUGGCUUCAGCCUAGCCUGGGUGGCCCCGUGGAAGCUGCUGUGCCAUUUACAUGCGGACAAUCGCCUGCCUUCCGGGAGGCCCGGGCCCGCAGGCUUGAAUUCCUGUGCAUUUGCCAUCAGAGGCCUCAUUUGCAUCCCCCACUCCCUCCCCGUGAGGGGCUCCAGGGGGCUGCCCCCAGGUCGGGGAGUGUAGCCUGAGGACACAGUAGACACUGAGUGAGAAUAGCGCGGAAGCCCCCUCGGAGCCCCCAAGCCCGGCUUUGUUUCUGAAACUGGAGCUUCCGCGUCUCUGGGGUUUGGACAGACAUCAAGAGAACUUGGUGGAGCCAGGUCCCAGUGCUCUGUGGGCGGGAGGGGGCGGCAGGACCACUUCCCAGCCAAAAGGCAGCCGCACAAACGAUUUCCUAUGGCCGUCAAGAAAAGCCCGUGCAAAGGAUUCCUCCCGCGACGUCCCGGAGACGGCGGGCAGGCCUUGGUCUCCAUGGAGAGCACACCCCAAGUUCUCGGCUGCGCUUUCAGGGGGCCGCCUGUUGAUUUAAGCUGAGCUCAUGUUCCGCGGCGGGGUGCCGCUGGCCUCCAGGCCGCUGCCAGGCUGGAUGCUGCUGCCCCAGCGCGUCCUGCCUCCUUACAGGUGCCGGGCUGUCAGCAGCUGGAUAAUUGCCGGCUUUGGCCUCGGGCCCUCCUGCAGGAGGCUGGCGGGUGCAGAGCGGAGGUGGACAAAGUUGGUUUUGUGCUCGGGGCUGGGCCUCGAAUGCCUGCUGGGGGGAACUGGGGGGGAACAGGACAGGGGGACCCUGCAGAGAACUCGGGAUACCUCACCCCUUGAACGGGGUCACCGACCUUUGAGCAGGGUCACAGACCUCUGGACCGGGCCACAGGCCAUUGUUUUAAGACACUGUGGGCAGUUGUUUGAGAGCUGGGGUUUUGGGCUUCCGGCCGGCAAGGACAGAAUCAUCAGGUCCCUUUCCAGAGCACCAGGGACGGGGCAGUUCGAGCUUGUUAACCCGGAAUCCACUUCUCCCAGUAAGGAGCCUGGUGUUGCCCAGCCCCAAGCCCCCGAGGCCGUUCCAGCUUUCCCGCUACUGCUGUGCACCCCGGGUUGCAGUUCUCUCCUUCCGGAGGUGCUGGGGACCCCUAAGGCUUGCGGGGCUGGGCCUGGGGGAAUGUCGGGGGGCGGGAGCACUGGGCAGCACGGGCCUGGCCGAGUGGCCGUGUCCAGACCACGAUGUCCUGUCCUGUGUCAGCAAAGCUCAGCCCGAGAGGGGAGUGGAGGCUCCCCGAUCACCAGAACCUCGGCAGUGAACGUGCGCCAGGACCAGGCCACAGGCCAAGAGGGAUCCCGUGGCUCACCCGGAGGGGGGUUGCUCUGUAUCCAUAAAAGUGAGGCGCUCGGGGUGCUCGGGGCGCUGGCGCUUGGACCGAGAGGCCUCGCGUCCUGGCUCCCGCUUCUCCUAAACCUUGUUUUGUGCCCGUCAUUUCUUUAUUCCUCGGUUCUUUGGGAUUCUGCUUCUCCCGUGCUCCUGGGGUUCGGCCCAGACUUCCGGGCGGGGCAGGUGUUAGCGGGUCAGUGUGGGCGGCUCCCAGGCCGGACGCUGACCCUUCGUGGGGGUGGAGCCGGGGGUGGGCCUUUGGGGCACCAUCUCCUGCCACCCCCCUGCGGAGUCUGGGGCAUGGAGGGCGGAGCCCAGCUGCCAGGGAGCCCCCGAACCUGCACACAGUGGUUCCCGCUGCCGCCUGUUUGUGCUCAGCGGCUUUGGGGAGGACAGACAACGUCCGAUGUGUCACCAGCGUAUCUCCACCCUCCUGCUCUCUUUUUUUUCCUUAUUCAGGUAGCCCUCUUUAUGGGCCUCCCUGGGGGCGCAGGGGUUCAAGACAGCACUGUCAAGCUGGCGCCAGCUGCUGGGGCCUGAUUCAUCCCCAGCCGGCCAGGGCGUUACCCACGGGGCGCAGCAGACCCCUCCCGCCUCGCCCGCUGCUCCCCUCAGCAGUGGGUUCGAGUGGAUCCACCUGUUCUACUCCCCACUCUGUCUCUGGGGAGUCCUCUCACCCCCUCCCCACACCUCUGGCCUGCACCCCACUUCUUGUGUGCAUACAUAUAUCUUCAAAAAUAAAAUAGCCGUCUUUAAUAAAAUAUUAACGACAAUUAAUUUAUUUUUUUUUAACAGCUACAUGGCCCAGACUGCUAAACUCACUUAAGCUGAAACAUAAAAUAAAGGUCUUUGGACUCAAAAAUUCAUUGGCUGUCGCUUUCCUUCAAAAUAAAUAAA